rnacentral:rRNA from 1 species
GAUGAACGCUGGCGGCGUGCCUAAUACAUGCAAGUCGAGCGAACGGACGAGAAGCUUGCUUCUCUGAUGUUAGCGGCGGACGGGUGAGUAACACGUGGAUAACCUACCUAUAAGACUGGGAUAACUUCGGGAAACCGGAGCUAAUACCGGAUAAUAUUUUGAACCGCAUGGUUCAAAAGUGAAAGACGGUCUUGCUGUCACUUAUAGAUGGAUCCGCGCUGCAUUAGCUAGUUGGUAAGGUAACGGCUUACCAAGGCAACGAUGCAUAGCCGACCUGCGAGGGUGAUCGGCCACACUGGAACUGAGACACGGUCCAGACUCCUAGGGGAGGCAGCAGUAGGGAAUCGUCCGCAAUGGGCGAAAGCCUGGCGGAGCAACGCGGCGUGAGUGAUGAAGGUCUUCGGAUCGUAAAACUCUGUUAUUAGGGAAGAACAUAUGUGUAAGUAACUGUGCACAUCUUGACGGUACCUAAUCAGAAAGCCACGGCUAACUACGUG